GACGAACGCUGGCGGCGUGCUUAACACAUGCAAGUCGAACGGUGAAGCGCCUUCCUUUUUGGUGGGUGUGGAUGAGUGGCGAACGGGUGAGUAACACGUGAGUAACCUGCCCCCUUCUUCUGGAUAACCGCAUGAAAGUGUGGCUAAUACGGGAUAUUCUGGGUCUGUCGCAUGAUGGGUCUGGGACAGAUAUUGUUUCGGUGGGGGAUGGGCUCGCGGCCUAUCAGCUUGUUGGUGGGGUGAUGGCCUACCAAGGCGGUGACGGGUAGCCGGCCUGAGAGGGUGGACGGUCACACUGGGACUGAGACACGGCCCAGACUACUACGGGAGGCAGCAGUGGGGAAUAUAGCACAAUGGGCGCAAGCCUGAUGCAGCGACGCCGCGUGAGGGAUGGAGGCCUUCGGGUUGUGAACCUCUUUCGCCAGUGAAGCAGGCCUGCCUCGUUUGUGGGUGGGUUGACGGUAGCUGGAUAAGAAGCGCCGGCUAACUACGUG
rnacentral:rRNA from 1 species